AACUUGGUAACUAUAUAGAUAAAAUAGAAAUAGUAAGUAUAUAUAAGUAAGUAUAUAGGUUAGAAAUAUAGACUAUGUCUAUAUCUCUUAUGUGUAUUUUUAAGUAAUCUUCAAUUUCUUGUAGUACCAAAUAUUAUAUUAUAUUUUUAUACAAGAAUAUCUAUGAAUACAAAAAUAUAAUUAAUCAAUAAUAUUAAAUAUAAUCAAUAAUAUAUAAAUAGAAAAAUGGACGCAUAUGAACUUUUUCGAAAACUUUCUACUGGUAUAAAAUUUGAUAAAAAACGUUUUCAAAUUGAUGCAGAAAGAUUUCAGCUUAUUAAAAAGCAACCUGAAAAUGUAAUUAGUGAUAAAAAAAUAAUUAAAACUUUUGAUGAUAUAAAUUAUUCAGCAAUAUGUAAGAAAAGAAAAUACAAUGAUAUUGAGGAAAAAACUGAAAAUAUUAAUGAACUAAUGUUAAUUAAUGGAAUGUCUGUUUCCAAAAAUCAAAAUAAAAAGUGCAAAGUGUCUUUAACAGAAGAAAAACAAUUAAAAUUAACACAAGAAAAGAUUAAUCAACAUCGUAAUCAUUAUCACAUAAAUGUCACAGGCAAUAGAAUACCUAAACCUGUUUUAGAAUUUAUUGAAUUAUCAAGAGAUUAUGGUAUAUCCAAAAAAUUAAUAAAUAAUAUUAUAAAUUGUGGUUAUCAAUAUCCUACUCCAAUUCAAAUGCAAGCUAUACCUGUUAUGUUACAAGGCAGGCAAAUAUUAGCUUGUGCUCCAACAGGAUCUGGAAAAACAGCUGCAUUUUUGUUACCUAUAAUUCAUCAUUUAGGUGGACCAGAAAAAAAAGGAUUUAGAGCUGUUAUAUUAAGUCCAACAAGAGAAUUAGCAAAACAAACAUAUAGAGAAUGUUUACGUCUUAGUGAGGGAUAUAAUUUUAAAAUUCACAUUAUAAGUAAAAUAAAUCAAGCAUUAAACAAAUAUGGACCUAAAAGUUCACAAAAAUUUGAUAUAUUAAUCACUACUCCAAAAAGAAUAAUAUAUUUAUUGAAUCAAGAUCCACCAGCUAUUUCUUUUAAUAAUGUUGAAUGGCUAAUUGUGGAUGAAGUAGAUAAAUUGUUUGAAGAUGGAAUAAGAUGCUUCAGAGAUCAAUUUGAAAAAAUUUCAAAAUCAUGUACAAGUGAAAAAUUACAUAAGGCAAUGUUUAGUGCAACUAAUACUCCUAUAGUAACCAAAUGGUGUCGACGUAAUUUGAAAGGUCUUAUAACAGUUACUGUUGGACAUAGAAAUGCUGCAACUGAUUUGGUAGAACAAGAACUUUUAUUUGUUGGUGCAGAAAGAGGAAAACUUGUAGCUCUUAGAAAUAUUAUUCAAAAGGGAAUAUUACCACCUGUGCUGGUAUUUGUACAAAGCAAAGAAAGAGCACAAGAAUUAUUUAAUGAACUUAUAUAUGAUGGAAUUAAUGUUGAUGUAAUUCAUGCUGAUAGAACACAAACACAGCGAGACAAUGUAGUUCGUUGUUUUAGAGAAGGAAAAAUAUGGGUCUUAAUAUGUACAGAAUUAAUGGCAAGAGGUAUUGAUUUUAAGGGUAUAAAUCUUGUUAUCAAUUAUGAUUUUCCAUCAUCUGCUAUUUCUUAUAUUCAUAGAAUUGGUCGUACUGGUAGAGCUGGACAUAAAGGAAAAGCAAUUACUUUUUUUACUGAACAAGAUACUACAAAUUUAAGAAGCUACUAUCAUGCGAGAAUCUGGAUGUAAUGUUCCUGAUUAUAUGUUAGCUAUGAAAAAACAUAGUAAAAAGGAAAAACGAAAACUUGAACAUAAAGCUCCUACUAGAGAAAAGAUAUCAACUAUUCCUACAUUUAGACGUGUACAUAAUAAAGAAAAAAUAAGACAAGUUACUAUAAAUACUUUGGGAAAUAAAUUAAAGAGUGAAGAAAUUGAAGACAAGAAAAUAAAUAAAAAAAAUAAAAA
rnacentral:misc_RNA from 1 species